AUUGGAUCCAUGCAGGUCUUGGAGGGUGGUGGCCCACUCUUUCUGGGCCAAGUAGAGGGUGGCUCAGACACCCCCCCUUCCUCCAGGCUUCUCAUCUGUAACUGGUGAAGCCCGGAAGAGCUUGUUGUUCAAGAGGAAAUCUUGUGUUACUUCUUUAUGAAGGACUCCAGCCUGGUGGAGAUGAAUGAGUCCUGAAGAUGGAAUCGAAGCUGUUUGGGCACAAACAAGGUUUCACUCUUGUUGCCCAGGCUGGAGUGCAAUGGUGUGAUCUAGGCUCACUGCAACCUCCACCUCCCGGGUUCAAGUGAUUCUCCUGUCUCAGGCUCCCAAGUAGGUGGGAUUACAGUACUUUAAUCAGCAUUUAAUGACCCAGUCGAAAAUUCAUUGUUUGGACCCAAGCACUGGUGGGAAAGGCAGGAGGGGAGGCCUGCCUUCCUUCCUCCCUCCCGAGCCCUACAGCAGGCCAUGGAGUGGUGAGCGAGUUCGUACAGUGCCAACCACAUUCCCAGAAACUUCCAGCAGAGGUUAAUCCUGCUCCUCUCAGGUGGGCUUGGCCCAUUCUCUAGACUUUGGAAGGUAAUGUUCUAUAGAGGCCUGUUCUGAAGCUUUACCAGGUCAAACCGGAGAAGAACCCAACAAGUAACUCAUCCCAGCCUAACUAUUCUUCAAGGGCAAUCAACCUACAGCAUCCAAGCACAGAGAAAUCAAAUCCAUGGAGAAUCUUCAAA
rnacentral:lncRNA from 1 species